rnacentral:rRNA from 1 species
GACAGAGGGUGCAAACGUUGUUCGGAAUUACUGGGCGUAAAGCGCGUGUAGGCGGCGAGGCAAGUCGGAUGUGAAAGCCCUGGGCUUAACCUAGGAAGUGCAUUCGAAACUGCCUGGCUGGAGUUCUGGAGAGGAAGGCGGAAUUCUCGGUGUAGAGGUGAAAUUCGUAGAUAUCGAGAGGAACACCGGUGGCGAAGGCGGCAUACUGGAUCACUUCUGACGCUGAGGCGCGAAAGCCAGGGGAGCAAACGGG